AUGCACGCUGGCGGCGUGCCUAAUCCAUGCAAGUCGAGCGAACGGACGAGAAGCUUGCUUUUCUGAUGUUAGCAGCGGACGGGUGAGUAACACGUGGAUAACCUACCUAUAAGACUGGGAUAACUUCGGGAAACCGGAGCUAAUACCGGAUAAUAUUUUGAACCGCAUGGUUCAAAAGUGAAAGACGGUCUUGCUGUCACUUAUAGAUGGAUCCGCGCUGCAUUAGCUAGUUGGUAAGGUAACGGCUUACCAAGGCAACGAUGCAUAGCCGACCUGAGAGGGUGAUCGGCCACACUGGAACUGAGACACGGUCCAGACUCCUACGGGAGGCAGCAGUAGGGAAUCUUCCGCAAUGGGCGAAAGCCUGACGGAGCAACGCCGCGUGAGUGAUGAAGGUCUUCGGAUCGUAAAACUCUGUUAUUAGGGAAGAACAUAUGUGUAAGUAACUGUGCACAUCUUGACGGUACCUAAUCAGAAAGCCACGGCUAACUACGUG
rnacentral:rRNA from 1 species